GGGAACAUCCCGGCGUCGCCGCGGCUUCGUUUUUCACUCAGUGCUCCACCGUGAACGCGAUUUAUGUUCAUUCCUUGCGUGGAGCGUUUAAGGAGUUUCAAGACGACGUCGUCUUGCCUGCGAUGCCUCCGUUGAAGGGUAGUGACCUGCCUGUGUUUCUGUACGACAAUAAUCUUUGCCGACCCUUGUUUGAGCUGCUUAGUAGCCAGUUCGAGAAUGUUGACCACAUUGACUUCUUCUUGGUUAACUCUUUCGACGAACUCGAAGUUGAGGUAAUUAUUCUUUUAUCUUUGUUUGUUUGACAAACAAAAAAAGUUUUCGUUGUUCAUUUUCAUAUAUAUUAUUAAUUAUCUGCAAAAUAAAAGUAAUAGUUAGUACUUGAUGUGAACCAUAUGAAAAUUAAAACUAGUAAUAACGAUAUUUAAGUGAAGAUUUCAAUUGUAAUUUUGGUACUUUGCGAAUGUUAUGUCCCUCCUCUGUGGUUGUAGACUCGAAGGUUCAUGUAUAAAAAAAGAAUCUCUUAGAGCAUGUUUAACCCUAUUACCCCUAAUGGGUUUCUUAGUAACUUUUUAAUUAAUAAAACUAAUCAAAUAACUUUAGUUAAGAAACUCCUAUUUUAGUCAGUGCAUUGGGAGUUUCUUAACUAGAGGUUCUUAAAAAAAAAUUAUUAAAUAUUUUUUCAAUAUAAAAUUUAUUUAUUAAAUAAAACAUAUUAAAAGAUAAAAUUUAAAACAUAAACAAAAAAAAAUUAAAAUUAAAAUUAGUACAAUAAUCGAGAAUAAUUUUAAAAAACAUCCGAGCUUGGUAGUUGUCUCAAUAACAUCCAAAUCGACUCCAUAAAUGUUCAACCAAAUCGGCUUUGAGUUGUUGAUGGGUAUGUGGAUCACGAAUUGCAGUUCGAACACCCAUCAUAUUGGCGAUAUUUGUAGGCAUUUCUGAAGAAAAAUCGAGAUCGACAUGUGAAGUUCCGGUGUCUUCUCCUUGUUGAAACUCUGAAACAUUAAAAUGAGUGUAUCCAUCUCGUUCGUCUUCUACUAUCAUAUUAUGGAGUAUGAUACAUGCUCUCAUAAUCUUUCCAAUUUUGGCUUUAUCCCAAGAACGAGCAGGAUUUUUGAUAAUGGCAAAUCUAGCUUGCAAGACUCCAAAAGCACGUUCGACAUCUUUUCGGACAGCUUCUUGAUAUUUAGCAAAUAAAACCGCUUUCGGCCCUUGCGGUUCUCGAAUAGAUUGGAUAAAAGUUGCCCAUUUCGGAUAAAUACCGUCGGUGAGAUAGUAAGACAUAUGAUACUCUCUUCCAUUGACAAAGUAAGUGACUUGCGGAGCAUGACCAUUUAUUAUAUCAUCAAAAACAGGUGAGCGAUCAAGAACAUUUAUAUCAUUUAAGGUACCUGGAGGUCCGAAAAACGCAUGCCAUAUCCAUAAAUCAUAUGAAGCAACCGCCUCUAAAACGAUUGUGGGUUUAGCCGAACCACGUGAAUAUUGACCUUUCCAAGCGGUGGGGCAAUUCUUCCACUCCCAAUGCAUACAAUCGAUGCUUCCUACCAUCCCGGGAAAUCCACGUUGCUCACCAAUAUAAAGUAGACGUUGAAGAUCAGCCGGUGUCGGUCUUCUGAGGUACUCAUCGCCGAAUAAAUUUAUUAUUCCUUCUACAAAAUGUUCCACACAUAAGCGAGUAGUAGUUGAACCGAGUCGGAGGUAUUCAUCAGUAGCAUCAGCCGCAGUACCAUAUGCCAAGACACGAAUGGCUGCUGUACACUUUUGAAGUGCAGAGAGACUGAGCCUUCCGAGAGCAUCUUUCUUUUGUCGAAAGAAUUCUACUUCGUUGGAGAGUCGAUCAACAAUACGGAUGAACAAUGGCUUGUUCAUUCUAAAUCGUCGUCGGAAUAGAUUUUGAGGAUAUGUUGGAGUUUCACUGAAAUAAUCAUUCCAUAAACGUUGAUCGCCUUCUUCACGGUUUCUUUCGAUAUGAAUUCUUUUUUUUCUUCUUCUUCUUUGGACUUCUUGAUCACCAUAAUUAAUGGCCAAAUUCUCGAAUGUUUUAUCAAAAUGUUGAUCAAAGUAUUGAUCAAAAUAUUCAUCAAAACUUUGCCCAUCUACUCCCUCAAAAGUGUUAUGAGAAGAGGAAGCCAUAGAAAAUGUUUAGAUCAAAGAGAAGAGAGAUACAAAUGUUAUGUGUAUUGAUAUUGAGAUCAAAGAUUGAACGUGUUUAUAUGUUUUGCGAGAAGAGAAGAAUUCAACUUGAGAAUGUGUAUUGAGAACAACGAGUUUACAAGACAUAUAUAGACAUACAUAAACUCGUGAGAAGAAUGGAGUGAAUACAUAAACUCGUGACACAUACAUACAAAAUGAAGGACACUUUUCUUGGCUUCUUCUUCUCAACAUCUUGUGACUUCUCACUGCAUCUUCUUGUCAACAUCUCCUGACUUCUCCUGCUUAAACAUCUCGUGACUUCUCCUUCUCAAACGUGUGAUGAUCAAACGUGUAUAAACAUCUCGUGACUUCUCUUGACUCUUCACUCACUGCACAUCAAACGUGUAUAAACAAAUUAAUGUAUUUUAGAGACAAAUAAACAAAGCCAAGAUAGGACAGAUCAGAUUUCACAAAACACAUAAACUCGUUUUUUAUAAAAUAACAUAACAUAUCACAUAAACUUGAAACAUACAUUAUCAUUAUGAAACUUCCGAAUUCAGCAGAACAUGAAGACAAACAGAACAUGGAGAAAAAACAGAACAUGAAGAAAAACAUAACAUGAAGAAAAAACAGAACAUGAACUAUUUACUCAGCAUCUCUGUAAUGAGUUUCUGCUUAAGAGCUUCUUCAGAUUCAGAAAGUGGCUCAGGUUUGGCAAUGGGACGGUCAAGCAAAUCCAUCUUCUUAACACUCUCUUGAACUGCCAAAUCUCUCUCUUUAACUGCCAAAUCUCUCUCUUUAAUAGAACACAUGGCCAGAAACUCAGCAGAUGCGGCCUUCGAUGCCUCCUGAUAUGCUAUACUUCUCUUACCAGAUGCUGCUUUCGAUGCCUUAACACCAGGAGGACGUUUUGUUGGUGACUUACCGAGAGCUGAAGCUGCUUGAGAGCUUUCUGAUUGUGCUCCAUUAUCACACUUUCUCUUCUUACCGCUGCCAUCAAUCUUGCAAGUAGCAGCUUCACACCAUUUCUGGUCGUACCUCAGCUCCUCCCAAGCAUGGUGAAGGUUGAAUUUAAUCUUAUGAUUGUGGUAGAAGAUUUCAUGUGCAAGUUUAACAGUAUCAGCCUCAUUCUGACCACUUGUUUUCUGUCUUGUUGCAGCCGCAUAGGAUCCACAGAAUUUGCAAACAAGAUCGUUCAUCUUCUGCCACCUUUGCUUACACUUGGUGUGACCUUUCUACUUCUAAAACUGAUGGAAACGCUAAAAGGAGGAAGUGUGAUGACGGUGCACAAUCAUCAAGCUCUCACGCAAAUGAAACCAACACUUCUGAAGAUGACCAAGGAACCAAUCGUCCACUGGGUGUUAAGGCAGCUCUUCCACUCUCUUUCGUCCCCCUCGACGACGGCUUCGAGGAAGGCCAUCCAUCUACCGACUCCUCUCCCGAGUACUUUGAAAAGUUCCAAGAAAACGUCUCUAGGAGCCUCUCUCAACUCAUCUCCUCGAUGGAACCCAAACCAAACGCCGUCGUAUACGACUCUUGUACGCCUUGGGUUCUCAACGUUUGCCGGGAACAUCCCGGCGUCGCCGCGGCUUCGUUUUUCACUCAGUGCUCCACCGUGAACGCGAUUUAUGUUCAUUCCUUGCGUGGAGCGUUUAAGGAGUUUCAAGACGACGUCGUCUUGCCUGCGAUGCCUCCGUUGAAGGGUAGUGACUUGCCUGUGUUUCUGUACGACAAUAAUCUUUGCCGACCAUUGUUUGAGCUGCUUUGUAGCCAGUUCGAGAAUGUUGACCACAUUGACUUCUUCUUGGUUAACUCUUUCGACGAACUCGAAGUUGAGGUAAUUAUUCUUUUAUCUUUGUUUGUUUGACAAACAAAAAAAGUUUUCGUUGUUCAUUUUCAUAUAUAUUAUUAAUUAUCUGCAAAAUAAAAGUAAUAGUUAGUACUUGAUGUGAAC
rnacentral:lncRNA from 1 species